rnacentral:misc_RNA from 1 species
ACAAAAGACAGUGGGGCAAACCAUUGGCAAAACCAUCUCAUGGUCGAGAUGUGACGGUCCAAACCCCGGAGCCCGUGACCAGGUCGCGCGGAUGGGGUGCGGAGAGAAAACGCUAUCUCUUUCGGUGGUAUACCGAGAGAGCCUUGGGCAGUCGCAGCCGUAACAGGCUCCGUCGCCUUAAAUUCAGACGAGCUCGACCGCGACCCGGGCUUUAAAAGGGGAAGGUCGCAAAAAACACCGCUCGGCAUCGUCGGUCAUUGUUCCGAUGUUGUAAGCGCCCGAGUAUGUACUUUUCACGUAUACGAAAUCCUUAUUUUGACGAGGAAGGGGUCGGGAGCAGGCAAAGUCUCUCGGCUUUUCUUUCCUCGGUCGCGUCAGGCGUACCUCGUUGCGCGCCUCGACCGGCCGAAUCACUUUUUUUGGCAUCUAUUGA